rnacentral:lncRNA from 1 species
CACAGGAGAGGGAGCCAUAGAGGGGUUGAGCUAUGGAAGGACAAUAGUAUGUUUUUGUUAAACUCAUUUCUAAAAUACAUCAUCUUUGGACUUGCUUCGAAAAGUCGACUUCCCAAGGUCUUCCCAUUGUCUUUUUGCUCUUAACAAAAUAUUCGUUUUUCGUACAUUAGCAUGGGCCGAUUCAAAUACAAGGACUUGUUUUCUGUUGUGCCGGUUCGAAAUAGGUUUGUAAUACAUAUUACAAUAAAAGGUCCAAGUUUAGUUUUUUCCCUUCAUUCAGCCUUUUCUCCAGAUUAUAUAGUUUUUUAAAUGUUUAUUCUUGGAUGAUCAAGUUGUUUCUCAUACCUCUAAACUGAUGAAAAUAUGAGAAAAUAAAGUAAAACAAAUAAAGAAAUGAACAAAAAUGAAUAAUACCUUUCUAGCUGAUUCUUCAUUUCAUUAAGUUCAGAUUUUACUUCUGCUUGCUCUUCAAAAGCAUUUUCUAAAGUAUUCAACCAUGAAUUCAUUUUGUUUUUAUUUUCAGCAAAAUCAUCCCAACGGUUUAAAGCAGAUUUCAGUUGAGCACUGGUUGCUUUAACUUCCAUUGUUAAGCUUUCUAAACUUGUUCUUAGGUCUGCCAUGUUACCUCGUAGAGCUUCUUGUUUAUCAACUGGAGUUGUAUUUAUUGCUUUUGUGAAAACUUCUUGUAAGGAGCCGCUUGCUGCAAAUCUUCUGCUUUCAGAGUUACCGAUUGAAUCAUGGGGUCAAAGGAUACAAUAUCUUGGACAAUACUAUUGGUCUGACGUAAAGUGGCUUUCCUUUCACCGAGACUUAACUGACUUAUGCCUGGGGUUGUUGAAAGGCGCCCAGAGGUGCCAGCACUCAUUCUUGGUUUUGGCGCCUGUAAAAAGAAGAAAGAAAGAUAUUGAAACUUAUUACCUCAAUCACAUGGAUUACAAAUAUUACCAUAGUGUUGCAAGAAAAUUGUAAAUUUAUUUUGUUGCUAUAUCAUAGUAAUUUAUCCCCAAAAAUUGAAAUUUAAUUGUGAUCUUAUCGUAAUUAAAAUUUUUCAUUAGCUUCUUCCCAGUCAAGAAUUGUGAUGAAAUUGUAAACUCUUUCAUUGUUUUCCUGUUUUUGCACCACGAGGAACUAUUUUUUUUAUU